GAUGAACGCUGGCGGCGUGCCUAAUACAUGCAAGUCGAGCGAACAGACGAGGAGCUUGCUCCUCUGACGUUAGCGGCGGACGGGUGAGUAACACGUGGAUAACCUACCUAUAAGACUGGGAUAACUUCGGGAAACCGUAGCUAAUACCGGAUAAUAUAUUGAACCGCAUGGUUCAAUAGUGAAAGACGGUUUUGCUGUCACUUAUAGAUUGAUCCGCGCCGCAUUAGCUAGUUGGUAAGGUAACGGCUUACCAAGGCGACGAUGCGUAGCCGACCUGAGAGGGUGAUCGGCCACACGGGAACUGAGACACGGUCCAGACUCCUACGGGAGGCAGCAGUAGGGAAUCUUACGCAAUGGGCGAAAGCCUGACGGAGGAACGCCGCGUGAGUGAUGAAGGUCUUAGGAUCGUAAAACGCUGUUAUUAGGGAAGAACAAAUGUGUAAGUAACUAUGCACGUAUUGACGGUACCGAAUCAGAAAGCCACGGCUAACUACGUG
rnacentral:rRNA from 1 species